UACGUAGGGGGCAAGCGUUGUCCGGAUUUAUUGGGCGUAAAGCGCUCGCAGGUGGUUCGUCGCGUCGUGCGUGAAAGACCCCGGCUCAACUGGGGAGGGUCGUGCGAUACGGGCGAACUGGAGGCCAGUAGGGGGAUGCGGAAUUCCGGGUGUAGUGGUGGAAUGCGUAGAGAUCCGGAGGAACACCAGCGGCGAAGGCGGGUCUCUGGGCCGAAAUUGACGCUGAGGAGCGAAAGCGUGGGGAGCAAACAGG
rnacentral:rRNA from 1 species